ACUUCUUCUCAAAAUAGUUA
rnacentral:snRNA from 1 species